GAGGGUAUAACUCAGUGGUAAAGCACAUUCUUAGCAUGCAUGAGGUCCUGGGUUCAAUCCCCAGUACUUUCA
rfam:Camelus ferus unplaced genomic scaffold scaffold1629, whole genome shotgun sequence.